GGUUCCAUGGCUCAGUUGGUUAGCGCGUGGUGCUAAUAUCAUCCAGAUGUUAACGCCAAGGUCGAGGGUUCGACCCCCUCUGGAACCA